CCUAGCUUUUGGAUUCAAUCUUGGAAACAACUGUCCUGAUGAUAUAGUUCUGAAAUCUAAAGCUGCCAAUAGCGCUGUUGAAACAGCUUACAGUGGUGAAUUGGCAAAUGGAGCCACAUUUCAGACUGAAUUUCAACCUCAUCUAUUCUGGACUCUAGAAAAGGUAAAUUUGAGGACUAUGGUGCAUGAAGACAAUGUUGUUCUCAUGGAUUUCAUGUAGUUGACAGAUUUGGAAUGCCAAUAUACACUAAACGCAGCCUUGCUGUGAGUUCCUCCGCUGCGGGUGCAUGCAC